CCUACGGGUGGCAGCAGUGGGGAAUAUUGGACAAUGGGCGAAAGCCUGAUCCAGCCAUGCCGCGUGUGUGAAGAAGGCCUUCGGGUUGUAAAGCACUUUCAGUGGGGAAGACAGCCUUGGGGCUAAUACCCUCGAGGAAGGACAUCACCCACAGAAGAAGCACCGGCUAACUCCGUGUCAGCAGCCGCGGUAAUACGGAGGGUGCGAGCGUUAAUCGGAAUUACUGGGCGUAAAGCGCGCGUAGGCGGUCUGAUAAGCCGGUUGUGAAAGCCCCGGGCUCAACCUGGGAACGGCAUCCGGAACUGUCAGGCUAGAGUGCAGGAGAGGAAGGUAGAAUUCCCGGUGUAGCGGUGAAAUGCGUAGAGAUCGGGAGGAAUACCAGUGGCGAAGGCGGCCUUCUGGACUGACACUGACGCUGAGGUGCGAAAGCGUGGGUAGCAAACAGGAUUAGAUACCCUAGUAGUC
rnacentral:rRNA from 1 species